CCCCGGAGGACAGGAACCGCAGCCUCACCGACAUGGCCGUCACCUAAGACGGGGAGAGGACAGGAGAGUCAGCCUCGCACCGCCAUCUGAUAAAGAAAUUAAGACUCGGAGAGGAGAGGAAAGGACUCAACCAAGGUCCCACAGGUAACCUCCUAUUUAGAACAAACUGUCUUCUGUAUGAUAGAAAGUGUUUUUUAACAAAUAAUAGCACAUUUAAAUGAAGAGUAAUGGAUUUGAAGGACACUUGGCUUCAGUAGAGCAGGUAGGAACCCAGC